rnacentral:rRNA from 1 species
GACGAACGCUGGCGGCGUGCUUAACACAUGCAAGUCGAACGCUGAAGCACCAGCUUGCUGGUGUGGAUGAGUGGCGAACGGGUGAGUAAUACGUGAGUAACCUGCCCUUGACUCUGGGAUAAGCCCGGGAAACUGGGUCUAAUACUGGAUGCUACAUGUCACCGCAUGGUGGGGUGUGGAAAGGGUUUACUGGUCUUGGAUGGGCUCACGGCCUAUCAGCUUGUUGGUGAGGUAAUGGCUCACCAAGGCGACGACGGGUAGCCGGCCUGGGAGGGUGACCGGCCACACUGGGGCUGAGGCACGGCCCAGACUCCUACGGGAGGCAGCAGUGGGGAAUAUUGCACAAUGGGCGAAAGCCUGAUGCAGCGACGCCGCGUGAGGGAUGACGGCCUUCGGGUUGUAAACCUCUUUCAGCAGGGAAGAAGCCACAAGUGACGGUACCUGCAGAAGAAGCGCCGGCUAACUACGUG